AUCCCUCGGUUCAUGUGCGAGAUGAUUGGGUAUUCAUACCUUAUGCAUGAGAUGUGCCUCUCUCAACCUUGUUACAACAUGGGCAUAUUACUUAUUUGAUG